rnacentral:snRNA from 1 species
GAUGAUACGAAGAAGCUUAGCGUGGCCCCUGCUCAAGGAUAAUGAGAAAACUCUUGAAGCAGUCCUUAUUUUU